AAGGCAGCACUAUUUGCAGUGCCUGUCUUUGUAAACGUUUUUGGCAAAUUGUAUUUCGAAAUAUGGAAUAUUUUUUCAAAGGCACCCAACAAACAUUUUUCUAUAACGUAAGCAAACACUGCCAUAAAAACUUAAACAUCUUAGAAGUGCCUUUCCAGUAUUCACUGCAUUGCUGUCAUUAUAAUUGAAAGUUUUGCUGAACGAAGAAAAGUCUGAUAAUUGCAUUGGAACCUAAUUUGCUUACCAUAUCUUGGGAGGAUAUUUUUCUAACCGAUUUAUCAUACCACAUUGGCAUAUAGCACAUGCAAAAUGGCAACACUCGAGGUUUUGCAUGUUAGUGUGCAACAGCAACGUAUACAAGGUGACUAACGCUUUUAUUUCUGGGUGUAUGUAAUUGCAGCUGUAACACUAUGGUACGCUUCAAUUACCUUUCUUUCUAGGCACACUGUCACGGACAAAUGAAACACUAGCGGGAAAGUAUAAAGUAGGACAGCUCUCACAAGUAAUAACUCUGGAGAGAGUGCGGUUUCGCGCCGCUGUAUACCCGGUUGCCGAGGGUGGUGGAGGCUCCAAGCUAGCCGUGCAAGCUGAAGUUGUGCCGACAUCAAAGUGGCAAAAGCGGAGACGAGAGAACGCAUUCCAGUUAGCCCUAACUUGUUCGUGUUAUAUUUAUCCAUGACAGUAUGUGUCCGAGUACAUGCAUUUAUUAAAAAAAAAAAAAUUCUGUUUGCAAAGUGAGCGAUACAAGACAGAUACAUGUGGCCUCAUUCUUGCAUGCUGUUGAAAGUGAAAGCACAUCUUUUAUAUGUAGAGUUAUUCUUUAUAUCAUAAUUUCUGCCUCUCUUGUUUUAUCCACAGCAGUUUAAGUUUUGUACUCCAUUGUGAAUUAGUCCUGCCUCUCACUUUCCGAAUGAUAACCUAUGAUGUGUGGGUUGAUAGUAGUUAGAUAAUACUGUUCUGCGCUGUGAUGGCCCCAACAAAUUUUUCUGUAAAGAGGUAAUCAAAAUUCUUGUCCUUUGGUGCCGCUGCAUGUCCUUAUGGAGCCUGCAUGCCAUGGCAUUCUGACGAAACUGAAAUACAAGAUGGCCGAUUCAUUUAAGUUGAUUGCUCUUUUUCCCUGUGCUACUUCCUACUUUUCUUUGCACAUUUGGGAGAGCUUUGGCUAACUUUCAUGUCAGAAAAUAACUAUCAGUGUGUUUUACCUGUAUUGCAAUAUAGCCAUUUGUGAGUUCAAAGUUUGUCUUUUAUUUCUAUUGCAGCCAAACCCUCAUUGCAAGCUAGUUGAUCAUUCACUUCAACAUCGAAUGUGUCUGACUGCUAUGUGCAAGCACAUUUCCUGGCUUAAGUAAUUUCAACACUUUACUUACUGUGCCUUGCGUGCAAGAUUUAAUUUCAUCCAUGAAAGGGUAUCCAAGCUGUUUAUGUUCCGACACAAAAAAUAAUGGUUGUAGUGCAUAUUUCCUGUGCAUUAGCAUAUUUCACAGGCAAUUUCAGAAAGUUAUAACUGGGGCAAAUUGGUGGAGGCAGGCAUUGAUUGUCAUUCUUAUCCCUGUUUGAUAUUGAACUAGGCAAUUGUCUUUUCGAAACAAUGCAAAAUUGAGGUUUGGUAUAGUUUCAACAAAUAACAAAUGCUACUGAACUCAAGCCCCAAUCACUUUCAAGUUAAACUUUGUGGACCCAGCUUGCUGAGGAUUAAAAGGAAAAAAGAAAGAAAUUUGCAUUGAGGUGGAAUUAAGAAAUCAUUUGGGUAACUUGAGGAAACCCUUCCUUGGGCACCUACAUUGCUUUAUGUAUAUAUAUAUAUAUAUAUUUUUGCGCUGCAAUUCCCAAUUACUUUUCUUGGCUGGCCAACUUGAUGCUAAGGACAUACCAGACUCUGCUUGGCCCUGAGGAAAACUAAGUAAAAAGCAAUAACCCCAACUUCCUAAAGUCAAUAACAUGCCAUUAAGAACAGAGGCUGCAAAUUUGACAUCACACUGCUUUGUUAGGUACAGCAUGCCAACAUGGCACUAUCGACUUGAGCAGCUCUCCGAAAUAGGAGGAGCUAGAAAAACAAACGCAAGAGCUUAGUAGUUUAGCUGUAGAAAAAGCAGCCAUGAAACCCAUGUGCCUUUUUCUGACAAUUGCAAACUGCAGUCUUACUUGUGCACGAUAACAGUGAACAUGCCACCAGUUGUUCAGACAGGAUGCCAGGCUUGCACGCAAUUACUGCUCGCCAACUGGUGAGCGGCACAAGAGGCUUCGUAUUGUCACUUUAGCUGUUUCUUUUUAAGGCUUUUGCGGGAAUGUACAUGGAACUUUUGAUGUUAGAUUUACUUAUCUUGAUCUACUACAGUGGCCAUGAUAUUUUACAGCAGUGCACUAGAUUGCAUGUUCGAAUUUCUGAAAUUUAAAAACUCUGCUGUAGUCCUCAUGCGAGCAGAGUUAUGACUAGCAGGUCAUACUGAAAUGUUUCAAAUGUGCAAGCUUUCGUUAACGAGGUGGCAUGACCACAACUAAUUAUGUCUUGUUUAAAUAGAUGUAGCCACUGGGGGAGUGAUAUUGUCUCAACACUUCUAACCUUUCAAUACUACUUAACUAGCAAAUAACUGGUGUGUUUGUAGCCUGUUGUGUGUAAAGACUGAGCCAUCUUGAGCCCUCUUCGUCCAACAAUCAUUUAUCUUUUGCAUUUAAGAAUUUUCUUCCUACUGCUUACGGUUGCUUGUGUUCAUAGCUCCAAGAAUGACAUCUUGUCUCGGAGUUCUGCAUUUUAUGUGAAGCUUCAGGAUCUCUCUCUAAUUCUUCGUACGUGAGAUCCCCAUUGAAGUGCGCAUUUGAUGUCCGAGACCUCCCAAUGUCAGUGCCAUAUUACACAACAUAGUGUUAUUUCAGAUGCAAGGCUAUGUAUGAACAAGUGAAGCUUUAGUAGAUGUUUUUCUUUAGAAGUAUUUUUUUCUUCCAUUCUUUCAUUGGAAUGAAAGAUAGUUACAGGUGUUGUACCAACUUUUUUGCUAGACACAGUCUACCAUUGCCAAAUUUUUAUUGAUUGAAAGGUAUGUUGUUUUGUCAGGUAGCCUUAGUAUGCAAUCACUUGAUCUCUAGCUAUAUAUGGUAAGUGCUGUAUGUGGGGGAUUUACUCCAAGUCAACCAAAUUUCCAGUAGGCAGGUUAAGCAGAACUCAAGUUGAUAUUCAGUUCAGGUAGAGCGCUUUACGCUGGCUCUGGUUCAUCAUGACCAGCUUUGCCCUUUGCAUCAUUUUCAGGGCAGAUAACAUUGAUAGCUCUUUGUGAAUUAGAGAUUUUUCAUUUCAGCAGUGGCAACCCGCAAUCUUUAAUAAAAGGAUGCUGAAAAAAUUCAUAAUGUUAAGCUCGAACGGUAGACAGAACAUCUUGAAUACCAAAUUCCCCUACGCUCCCUUCGCGCAGGAACUUGGUAAACCAGAAAGGAUAUGGGAAUUAGACUUGAAAAUCCACACACACGCUCUCAUGGACAUCACAGAUGGAGACAUCAUUUGCUCGAAGCCAGUAAUUUACUAGUAAAGGGCGAUUUCAGGGCAUUCAGAAGUAUGCAAUGACCUAGCUUCAGAGCUUCUGGAAACUUUUGCUAAGCAUGAACAGGCCCAAAUAUGCAAAAAAUUCCAUUAUAUCUCUGAUGACCUAUCGAUGUCAUUUUGUUCCAUGGUUUGUGUGUGGACUACAAUUUUCAUUGCUGAUAUUUGACCUUUUUCUACCAAGUAUGUGCAAAUUUGAGUUUUGAGAGUGCACUUUACCAGUCGAAAUUGAUUUGUUUGGUCUCUAGCAUCCCUAACAGCCAAAUGUGCCAUGAUAGUGCCAAGUUUUCUUUUACUAGGUAAAGAAGUGUUUAUACUGCAACUCUAUUUUGCCGUGUUUACUGCACAAUGCCUUUCCUAUGUGGCUUGCAUUAAACCUACCCGAGUUUGUUCUGAGUAUUUCAUUCACUAUUUGCUGUUUUGAGAGUGCUGUUUUCACAUUCAUUUGUUUUCUCACUUUCAGUAUGUGAACUCUGUCCCUUUGCAGGUCACAAUUUGUCUGGUUUGUCUUGAAAGACAAGUUUGAGUGAGGGUCGAGUGAGGCUUCAGCUUGCAUUCAGCUGUCGAGCACUCGCUCUGAACCCUAGAGUCAACCCUGUGUGCCAAAGGAUGUUGUGUGUGUUUUUGCUUUGUGGGGUAGCUGUUGUAGCUGCCGUUACUGUGUGCCGUGAUGAAGGAACAAAACAAGAUAACCUAUCACAUUCGAAGUGACUAUCAAUUUUAUUCGAUGGCCCGUACAAAGGCCUUAGCUUGCAGUCAAGCGCCACAGAUGCAUCGGCCAGAAAGCUUGUACAUCAAAGUCAUUUACUGGCACACCCACAACUUAGUGUUCAUCUUGUGUGUGCUUUGUCAUAUUUGUUCUUCCACUCCAGUGUGCUUUAUUGUGGUUUUGUACGAACUUGUGAACAGCGUUAAUUUCCUAUAUCUAGCAUGGACGCUUGAUAGGGAUGCCACCUGUAGUCCCUUGGCUGUGAUAAGCUUUUAGUGAAUAAAGUGUCGUAAUUUA
rnacentral:lncRNA from 1 species